UUAGGUGUGGCCAAACCAACUGUUUGGUACGUUCUUAAAAAGAGAGAACGCACUGCUGAGCUUAGCAACACCAAAAGACAUGGAAGACCACGGAAAACAAGUGUGGUGGAUGACAGACAAAUCAUUUCCCUUGUCAAGAAAAUGCCCUUCACAACAGUUGGCCAGAUCAAGACAACUCUCCAGGAGGCUUACCCCUGUGGGGGAUUCUUGUCCAGCCAGCCCUUCCUGAUAACAGCAGGGGCCUGAGAGCUGUCUUCUUUAGGGGGUGAAGCCAGUCUGCCAAUGUUAGAGAAUCAAGUGGGAGACAACAAGAUGGCGCAACCAAACUUGAUAUUGAUAUUGUUAAGCGAUUGUGCUCAGUAAACCACUGUCAGUAAG